GGGGUGGGCCCGUGGGUCCCAGUACCUGGUCCAGGAGGCAGCGUCUCCCUCCCGUCCGGGAUAAGACACCCCCUCCGCGGGUCCCCUGUCCACUCUGGAGAGGCAGCCCCCACUUGGAGGGACCAGGACCCGAGCCCUGCCCAUCCCCGAAUCCUGGGAGCCCUGCGUGGGGAGUGUCGAGGGCCUGGGUCGGGGGGCAAACUAGUGUGGAGACAUUAGAACACUAUUUAAAGAGUGUACAUCUCCUAGUGAAGCAAAUGAUAAACUUUCCCACCUACAAAGUGUGAGAUAUUGGCAAUGUAAAGAUGUGAAGAGAGAUACGCCAACUUUAAUGGAGGACCUACCAAGUUCCAGGCAGCAUUCCGAGCCCUGGAAUCCGGUGAUGAACAUGACAGACAAGAUUCCUGCCCCCAAGGAGCUGCACCUUAAUAAGUCCCGCAAUGAAGGAGACAGAACAUAAACAGAGGAAAAUACACAGGAUGCCAGCUUGUGAGAAGUGCUAGCAAAAAAAGACACAAGUAUGUCCAGAGAGUCUGAGGUGUAUACAGGUAUACAGAGUUCAAUUCUUCUGGGGCAGAUGGCAGGAAAACUUUCUAAAAAUAAGUACCAUGUUUUUAGUAGAAGCCAUGUCAGAGGCUUAAUGUGCAUUUUUUCUAACUUGUACAACAAACCAUGAGGUAAACAUCAUUUUCCUACUUUGUAGAUG
rnacentral:lncRNA from 1 species